GCGCGCCCCCGCCUCUGCCGGUACUGCUCCCGCGCCCUCUGCCGCUGCCCCCGCCGCUGCCGCCGACGCCCGGGGUCCCCGAGGUGCAGCCCCGGCUGAGGAGCGCGUCGGCCGGCUGCCCAGCAGCGUCGCGGAGCGGAGCCGCGGAGUCGCGGAGCCGCGGAGUCGGCGGGCGGGCGGGUGGACGGGCGCGCGGACAGAUCAGCCUGCCAUGGCGGACCAGAGACAGCGCUCCCUGUCUACCUCAGGGGAGUCACUGUACCAUGUGCUCGGGCUGGACAAGAAUGCGACCUCAGACGACAUCAAAAAGUCCUACCGGAAACUUGCCUUGAAGUAUCACCCUGACAAGAACCCCGACAAUCCCGAGGCCGCGGACAAGUUCAAGGAGAUCAACAACGCCCACGCCAUCCUGACGGACGCCACCAAGAGGAACAUCUACGACAAGUACGGCUCGCUGGGGCUGUACGUGGCCGAGCAGUUUGGGGAGGAGAACGUCAACACCUACUUCGUGCUGUCCAGUUGGUGGGCCAAGGCCCUGUUUGUCGUGUGCGGGCUGCUGACCUGCUGCUACUGCUGCUGCUGCUUGUGCUGCUGCUUCAACUGCUGCUGCGGGCGCUGCAAGCCCAGGGCGCCGGAGGCCGAGGACGGCGACUUCUACGUGUCCCCUGAGGACCUGGAGGCACAGCUGCAGUCGGACGAGCGCGGAGGGCACUGACACUGUGCCGGGAGUGUGUGUGGUGGCAGCUGGGACUGUUGAGGUGUGAACGUGGACACUGGAGAGGCCACAGACACGCCGAUUGUCAUACAGCCAGCGUCUGCCACAGAGACCACCCAGCUCACGGCCGACUCCCACCCCAGCUACCACACCGACGGGUUCAAUUAAACCCAGGAGCAGCCGUGACGGGGAGACGCCCGCACCGGCCACGUCACCUUAGGAUCAUGAACUGUAGUCCCAGCGUGGGGGGGCCACUGCGCCGGGUCCCCCGUCCCCCGCCACGUGAAGCGCGUAGCAUGCCGUAUUUACAGCCGUUUAGCUACGUCGUCGUCUUCUGUGUCUCCUUUCUAAGCAUGUACUGGGUUACGCUCCAUGUCUGUCUGUGCUGCGAGCAGGGUGCAGUGUGGCCACCCUGGCCAGACGCUGGAGCCCCCAAGGCUGCCCCUCCCCGGUAUCCCUGGGGCCGCAGUGGGGGCCGUCCCUGCAGUGUGGCCACGGGCACGGCCCCCCCAGCGCCCGGGGUUGGCAGCAAGGACAGUUUGCACAGGACCUGUUCGUCUCGUGUGCGUGGCCGUGUGGCGGGGUUCUUCCCGCGGGUGAGUUUGCUGAGACCACAUGCUCUGCCUGUGUCUGGCCUGAGUCCCCACGUCCCAGGGACCCACAGCUCCUGUCCUUCAAGUGGUCCCUCAGGCCACGAGCUGGACAGAUAGGGCCCCCCUUCUCUGCAUCACCCUCCACAUUCCUUCAAGCCCACGUGGCCUCUUUGUAAUCUCUUCUGGACCUCAGAACCACAAGCAGUAGCAGCGGCCCAAUUAGUCAUAGUCAGAGGGGCUGGGGGUCCAGGUUGCUGGUGCUGCACGGCUGCACGGCCGCCCUCUCGGCCCCCCGAAGCUCCUGCCCACCCCCUUCCUUCAGAUGCUCCCUUCGGCCUCGUGGAUGCUUCUGGCAGAGCUGGGCCCUCAGGUCCCUGGGGGAGGACCAGAACGACCAAGGGCACACUCUGGCCUAGCGGGGUUGGGUCCAGGGAGCCCUAGUGCCCUUGGGCUUGUUAGCCAGCAGCCAGACCACGGACCCCUCACCACUGUCGCGAGCAGCACCUUCUGUGAACUGCUGAAGUCAUCUGUCUCGACUGUGUCCCAGACCUUGUAGGGGGUGUCCCUGCUGCGGGGACUGAAGAAACGUGGGUUAUGAUGUGCCUGUGCCAGCAGACUGCAUGUGGUGCAGCCCUGCUGGACCCAGGCCAGCCACUGGGGACCCGAGCGGCCCAAGUGGGCCUGGUUUCUGCAGCACAAACCUAAUGGCUGCUGCUGAGUGUCCCUGGGUUUCCAGGAGAAAAGGACGAGCUGGAGAAGCUGCGUGGGGGCAGCUCCCUGGCUCAGAGGGACCAAAACACGUUCCUGAAGCCACUGUUCUCACCCGCUGCCCUUGCCUGCUCACCCAGGGCCGUGCGGAGGGCAGGCUCGCGUGGCCAGGAUGUGGCUUCACGACACAGCAAGGUCAGGACAGAACGGACGCUCUGAAAGCAGUGCGCCCGGCCGAGUGCUCUUGCAGGCUGUUUGGUCCCGCUGGGUUUGUUUUCUGCCCGUGAAAAGGAUCCUGGAGACAUUCGGUGAGAGGGGAGCUGUGCGCUGUGAUGCGAAAUUAGAAACGAUUUGCUGACAUCAGGACUCAUAAAAGGAUAUGAAAUUCAUUGUUUGGCACAAGGUUGGAGACGAGACGGGGGCGUUGUCUCUGCCACCCAGCAUGGCAGCUGCGGGAUUCAGCCUGAGCUGUAGGCCGUAGGCAACCUUUGUGAUGUUUGUGGGAAUACCUUAGGAAAUGAGUUCUUUUUCCCCAGAAUGGCCAAGAACCCAGCUUCAAUCUUGCAGUGGCUGUGCUGUCCCUGGGCCUGGCCUCAGCCCAGCCAAGGCCCAGCCAAGACCCGUCACGUGUCGCUGGGCGUCUUCCAGUUACAGAAGCUGUUGAUCUUUUCCUAGACACACGGGCUCCCCUAGGGCAGGUCUCAUGGAGUUUAUGAACAGGAGGUCGUUGUGAGGACCAGGGUGACGGCCUGGUACCCCAGAACCCUUCGCGGUUUCACUGGGAUCAGUGUCAGGCCCCCAUCCUGCUUCAGGACCAGACCCCUAGGCGCAUUUCCUUCUCUCGCGUGGUCAGUUUCCCUGCUAAGCAGAGGUGAGUCUGGGGACGCACCCCCGUUGGUGUGCUGAAGGGGGGCUCAGCUUCACUUGGGGCUCCCCAGAGUCGGGGCCACGUGGCCAGUGCUGGUGUCGGUACAUGAGGAAGCCCGCCCGUUUUGCCAAGGGCAGGGCUUGCCGGGCACCAGACCAGUGUGCCUACGAGCCAGGCAGCACUGGCCAUGUGUGGCGCAGGGCAGGCGAUGGCCGCUGCAGGUAGGUUUGCUUCUGCUCAGUGAUGUGCUCCCGUCUUCCUUUCAGCUUCCUUCGCGUUUCAAAUUGCGUCUGAUGUGGCCCUCAGUGUGUUGCGCCUUCCUCGCUGUCCAGGCGGUUGGGGCGCACGCCCAGGCACCGGCAGGCGGGCAGCGCUGGGGGCCGUUUCUGUCCUUCCCUGGCUCUCGGCACGUCCUGCCAGGGACCUCAUUCCUUUCCCAUGUUCUGAGCUGUGAACCCACGUGACACAGGACUGACGUUUCGUUUUUGUUACUUUGGUUGUGACCCAUCCUCCUGUGGAAUUGGUGAAGCUCCAUUUUACAGCCCUUACAAGCACCGUGGGGCGUGUGCUGUGGCUGCAGCCGUGAGUGUCCCGUGUGUGCGUGUGUGUGCGCGCGGGCCCCACAAUGGCCUCUGGCUCCUUGGCGGACGAGCUGGGCAGGAGCGGGGUCCCUGAGACCUUCACUGGGAGCACGGAAGGGAAAGCGGACCCUGCUGUGUGCCUGGUUUGUUCGGAUGGCUGGGCCUGGCGCCUGAGGGCACUGUAGGGAACGCCCCUGCCAGGGUCGGGUACCAGAGCUGCCGGGGUGGUGAGUGUCCCCAUGUGACAUCUAGGAGGUGGCUGGAAACCCUUUCCUCCCUUGAAACUUUAAACCAACUUUGUAAGCAUCGGGUACAAUCAGUGACAAAGCUGCAUUCUAAAUGGGUCUCUGUCCUGGCCACACAUCGGUCGGCCUGAGGGUGGGUCCUGCUGGUGGCAUCUUUUGGUAGACGGUUUCACUGGGAAGUACGGUUGUGUUUCGCUCUAAGCGAGGGAGGCAGUUGACAGUGAAGUAUAUUUGCAUUGUUUUUAAGAACUUAAGUGUAAAUGCAUGGAAAGCCGUCGUCCAUGCCCGGUUUUGUCCUGUGACUGGAACCCGACCGCCCACAUGCGCACCGAAGGGCAGGCUGGCGGUGACGGUGGUUUCCCAUGGUGACCUCCGUCUUGUAUGUCUGAAUGUUGACUUAAAGAUAACUUGUAAAAUAAAUGUUUUCACUGCGGA